rnacentral:pre_miRNA from 14 species
CGUGUGUGUGUGUGUGUGUGUGUGUGUGUGCGCGCGCAGCCACAUGUGCCUCACCCCCACCCAGGC